rnacentral:rRNA from 1 species
UACGUAGGGUGCAGGCGUUAAUCGGGAUUACUGGGCGUAAAGCGUGCGCAGGCGGUUUCUUAAGUCAGAUGUGAAAGCCCCGGGCUUAACCUGGGAACUGCGUUUGAAACUGGGAGACUUGAGUGUGGCAGAGGGGGGUGGAAUUCCACGUGUAGCAGUGAAAUGCGUAGAUAUGUGGAGGAACACCGAUGGCGAAGGCAGCCCCCUGGGUUAACACUGACGCUCAUGCACGAAAGCGUGGGGAGCAAACAGG